rnacentral:rRNA from 1 species
UAACAAGGAUUCCCCUAGUAACUGCGAGUGAAGCGGGAAAAGCUCAAAUUUAAAAUCUGGCGGUUUUGCCGUCCGAGUUGUAAUCUGGAGAAGCGUUUUCCGCGUCGGACCGUGUACAAGUCUCUUGGAACAGAGCGUCAUAGAGGGUGAGAAUCCCGUCCAUGACACGGACUCCCGAUGCUUUGUGAUACGCUCUCGAAGAGUCGAGUUGUUUGGGAAUGCAGCUCAAAAUGGGUGGUAAAUUCCAUCUAAAGCUAAAUAUUGGCGAGAGACCGAUAGCGAACAAGUACCGUGAGGGAAAGAUGAAAAGCACUUUGGAAAGAGAGUUAAACAGUACGUGAAAUUGUUGAAAGGGAAACGCUUGAAGUCAGUCGCGUCUUACGGGACUCAGCCUUGCCUCGGCUUGGUGUACUUCCUGUAGGACGGGUCAACAUCGAUUUUGACCGGCGGACAAAGGGGAUGGGAAUGUGGCAAUCCUCGGAUUGUGUUAUAGCCCUCUUCCGUAUACGCCGGUUGGGAUCGAGGACCGCAGCGCGCCUUUAUGGCCGGGGGCUUGCCCCACGUACCGCGCUUAGGAUGUUGGCAUAAUGGCUUUAAGCGACCCGUCUUGAAACACGGACCAAGGAGUCUAACAUGCUUGCGAGUGUUAGGGUGGAAAACCCUUGCGCGUAAUGAAAGUGAAAGUUGAGAGCCUUCUUUUGGAGGUGCAUCGACGCCCGGCCCUGAAGUUCUCUGACGGUGCUGCGGUAGAGCACGUAUGUUGGGACCCGAAAGAUGGUGAACUAUGCCUGAAUAGGGCGAAGCCAGAGGAAACUCUGGUGGAGGCUCGUAGCGAUUCUGACGUGCAAAUCGAUCGUCAAAUUUGGG